GACGAACGCUGGCGGCGUGCCUAAUACAUGCAAGUUGAGCGCUGAAGGUUGGUACUUGUUCCAACUGGAUGAGCAGCGAACGGGUGAGUAACGCGUGGGGAAUCUGCCUUUGAGCGGGGGACAACAUUUGGAAACGAAUGCUAAUACCGCAUAAAGACUUUAAACACAAGUUUUAAGUUUGAAAGAUGCAAUUGCAUCACUUAAAGAUGAUCCCGCGUUGUAUUAGCGAGUUGGUGAGGUAAAGGCUCACCAAGGCGAUGAUACAUAGCCGACCUGAGAGGGUGAUCGGCCACAUUGGGACUGAGACACGGCCCAAACUCCUACGGGAGGCAGCAGUAGGGAAUCUUCGGCAAUGGACGAAAGUCUGACCGAGCAACGCCGCGUGAGUGAAGAAGGUUGUCGGAUCGUAAAACUCUGUUGGUAGAGAAGAACGUUGGUGAGAGUGGAAAGCUCAUCAAGUGACGGUAACUACCCAGAAAGGGACGGCUAACUACGUG
rnacentral:rRNA from 1 species